rnacentral:rRNA from 1 species
UACGUAGGGGGCUAGCGUUGUCCGGAUUUAUUGGGCGUAAAGAGCGUGUAGGCGGCCAGGUAGGUCUGCUGUGAAAACUCGAGGCUCAACCUCGAGAUGUCGGCGGAAACCAUCUGGCUAGAGUCCGGAAGAGGAGAGUGGAAUUCCUGGUGUAGCGGUGAAAUGCGCAGAUAUCAGGAGGAACACCAAUUGCGAAGGCAGCUCGCUGGGACGUUACUGACGCUGAGACGCGAAAGCGUGGGGAGCAAACAGG